rnacentral:miRNA from 1 species
GUGUAUAAUAUAUAAUGUAUAAAUGUAUGCACCCACUAUAUAUACACACAUAUAUAGUGUUUAUAUGUAUAUACACACUGUGUGUGUGUGUGUGUG